AUAUUUAUCAUCUUCAAGCUUGUCUAUGAAAUAUUUUGGCUCCCUAGUAUGGUGAAAAACAAGCUGUAGAAGUUGCUUAAUGUAGAGGAGCAACACUUAGAAGCUUUAUUCAAAUCUACCCAUAUUCAAUGCUUCAAAGCUUCUGAAUACACCCUUCUCUCCUUAAAUCAACACUUAACAAAAAUUUACAAAAAUUUUGGUAGGCUAUAUUUAUUGUAUCUGCUCAAAUAUAUUUCUUCUGGAUAUGACAUUGAACUGCCUCCAGUAGCGAGGCUCCAGUUCAGGAGUUGUGGGGAGCAUGGAGUCACCUCUUAAUUACCGUUAUUCCCAAGUUCAUUCCGUCAUGUUAUGGUCCCAUUUAUGGGUUAAAUAUAUAGUUGUAAGAGUAGAUUAAGGCCCUUAACUGUUAUGAAAGCAAUCAAUCUACAAGUAAAAACUCCAAAAUGAAUAGCCUCUUUCAACAUGCCCGAAGCUAGCCUGGAUGAAUAUGGCUGAUGAAAUUAACAUGAAAUAUGUCCAGUAACAGAUUCAUAGUAUGGAGAUAACCAUCUCCUGUUGGUGCACAUUCUGCUUCCAGUUAGAGAUAGAGGGAAGUGAGGAUUUAAAUAUAAGACAAGGUUGUUUAUUUUGAUCUUUUUAUUUUAAAUUGUACCAU